GACACUGGCAAGUGCAGGAAAGGAGCUCAAAGAUAACUUCCUGAGAGCGCUGGCAGAGCGAGAGGAGGCCAACCGCAGCGGGAAAGUGACUGAAGGGAACAGAAUCCAUACUGUGUCAAAGCCCCGUCCCUCCUGUGAGCCCCCCCUGAAACCUUAGACCAUGAAACCGUGUUUACCAAACUCACACAGCUCGUCCUGGACCUGGGUUUGAGACCUGUAAGGACGCAGGCUCACCUGAGGAGCGGUUAGGACUCAGUGUGUCUUCAUACUUCUGAUUAUUAAAGAUGUGCGUGUGGAUGAAUGCAUGCAGGUAUGCUCUGCCA